AUUGAACGCUGGCUGCCGGCUUAACACAUGCAAGUCGCACGAGUGGCGGACGGGUGAGUAAUGCUUGGGAAUCUAGCUUAUGGAGGGGGAUAACUACGGGAAACUGUAGCUAAUACCGCAUACCAUCGGAUGUGCCCAGAUGGGAUUAGCUAGUUGGUGGGGUAACGGCUCACCUAGGCGACGAUCCCUAGCUGGUAUGAGCGGAUGACCAGCCACCCUGGAACUGAUACAAGUUCCAGACUCCGACGUGAGGCCGCAGUGGGGAAUAUGGCACAAUGGGAGCAAGCCUGAGGCAGACAUGCAGCGUGUAUGAAGAAGGCCUUCGGGUUGUAAAGUACGUUCAGCGAGGAGGCGUUACUCGCAGAAGAAGCACCGGCUAACUCCGUGCCAGCGGCCGAGGUAAUAC
rnacentral:rRNA from 1 species